rnacentral:rRNA from 1 species
GACGAACGCUGGCGGCGUGCCUAAUACAUGCAAGUCGAGCGAGACUCUUCGGAGUCUAGCGGCGGACGGGUGAGUAACACGUGGGCAACCUGCCUGUAAGACUGGGAUAACACCGGGAAACCGGUGCUAAUACCGGAUAAUCCUUUUCCUCUCAUGAGGAAAAGCUGAAAGACGGUUUCGGCUGUCACUUACAGAUGGGCCCGCGGCGCAUUAGCUAGUUGGUGAGGUAACGGAUCACCAGGGCGACGAUGCGUAGCCGACCUGAGAGGGUGAUCGGCCAAUCUGGGACUGAGACACGGCCCAGACUCCUACGGGAGGAAGCAGUAGGGAAUCUUCCACAAUGGACGAAAGUCUGAUGGAGCAACGCCGCGUGGGCGAUGAAGGCCUUCAGGUCGUAAAGCUCUGUUGUUAGGGAAGAACAAGUACCGGAGUAACUGCCGGUACCUUGACGGUACCUAACCAGAAAGCCACGGCUAACUACGUGCCAGCCGCCGCCGUAACAC